rnacentral:rRNA from 1 species
GAUGAACGCUAGCGAUAGGCUUAACACAUGCAAGUCGAGGGGUAGCAGGGAGCAAGUUUACUUGCUCUGCUGACGACCGGCGGAUGGGUGAGUAACGCGUAUGCAACUUACCCCAUACACAGGGAUAGCCCGUUGAAAGACGGAUUAAUACCUGAUAUUAUUAACAUUCCGCAUGGGAUAUUAAUGAAAGAUUAAUUGGUAUGGGAUGGGCAUGCGUUCCAUUAGUUAGUUGGUGAGGUAACGGCUCACCAAGACUACGAUGGAUAGGGGAACUGAGAGGUUUACUCCCCCACACUGGAACUGAGACACGGACCAGACCUCCUACGGGAGGCAGCAGUGAGGAAUAUUGGUCAAUGGGACGAGAGUCUAGAACCAGCCAAGUCGCGUGAAGGAAGACUGCCUUAUGGGUUNUAAACUUCUUUUAUAGGGGAAUAAAGUGCUCUACGUGUAGUAGUUUUGC